UACAGAGGAGCCAAGCGUUGUCCGGAUUGACUGGGCGUAAAGGGCUCGUAGGCGGCCAACUAAGUUCGGACGUGAAAUCCCCAGGCUCAACCUGGGAACUCGCGUCCGAUACUGGAUGGCUUGAAUCCGGGAGAGGGAUGCAGAAUUCCAGGUGUGAGCGGUGAAAUGCGUAGAUAUCUGGAGGAAUACCGGUGGCGAAGGCGGCAUCCUGGGACCGGCAUUGGACGCUGAGGAGCG
rnacentral:rRNA from 1 species